rnacentral:rRNA from 1 species
GACGACGCUGGCGGCGUGCUUAAAACAUGCAAGUCGAACGGACUUCUCAUGAAGCUUGCGAUUGAGAAGUUAGUGGCGGACGGGUGAGUAACGCGUGGGCAACCUGCCCCUGAGCCCGGGAUAACAGUUCGAAAGGACUGCUAAGACCGGAUAUACUUGCGGUGAAGCAUUUCUCUGUAAGGAAAGGGAACGCUCAGGGAUGGGCCCGCGUCCCAUUAGCUAGUUGGUGAGGUAACGGCCCACCAAGGCGACGAUGGGUAGCCGGCCUGAGAGGGUGAACGGCCACACUGGGACUGAGACACGGCCCAGACUCCUACGGGAGGCAGCAGUUGGGAAUCUUCGGCAAUGGGCGCAAGCCUGACCGAGCAACGCCGCGUGAGUGAUGAAGGUUUUCGGAUUGUAAAGCUCUGUCUUCCGGGACGAUAAUGACGGUACCGGAGGAGGAAGCCACGGCUAACUACGUG